AUAUCAAUAAGCGGAGGAAAAGAAACCAACAGGGAUUGCCCCAGUAACGGCGAGUGAAGCGGCAUCAGCCCAGAUUUGAAAUCCGGCCACCACACCAGGAGGCCCGAGUUGUAAUCUGCAGAGGGUGCCCCGGGCGUAGCCCGCCGCCGAGUUCCCUGGGACGGGACGCCGCAGAGGGUGAGAGCCCCGUGCGGCGGCGCGGCGAGCCCAUAAGGGGCCCCUUCGGAGAGUCGCGUAGCUUGGGAAUGCUGCGCAAAGCGGGAGGUAUACCCCUUCUAAGGCUAAAUACUGGCCGGAGACCGAUAGCGCACAAGUAGAGUGAUCGAAAGAUGAAAAGCACCUUGGAAAGGGGGUCAAACAGUACGUGAAAUUGCUGAGGGGGAAGCGCCUGCCCCCAGACUCGGGCCCUACGGCCUUCACCCGGCCCCUCGAGGGCCGGGGUAUUCCGUGGGCCCGGGCCAGCGCCGGCCGGCAUCCCGGGGUGCAAAGGCGCCGGGAACGUAGCCGCCCUUCGGGGUGGUGUUAUAGCCCGGCGUGUCAUGCCCUGGGGCCGGCCGAGGCCCACGCCGAAAGGCAAGGGCGCUGGCGUAAUGGAGGCCGGCGGCCCGUCUUGAAACACGGACCAAGGAGUCGUCCUCGCGCGCGAGUGCUCGGGUGUCAAGCCCAGGCGCGUAGUGAAAGCGAACGCCGGUGGGAGCCCCGUCAGGGGCGCACCACCGACCGAUCCGGAAGUUCUCUGAAGGAUUUGAGUAGGAGCGCGCGGGGCCGGACCCGAAAGAGGGUGAACUAUGCGUGGGUAGGGCGAAGCCAGGGGAAACCCUGGUGGAGGCUCGCAGCGGUUCUGACGUGCAAAUCGAUCGUCAAACCUGCGCAUGGGGGCGAAAGACUAAUCGAACCUUCUAGUAGCUGGUUUCCGCCGAAGUUUCCCUCAGGAUAGCAGUGUCGAGCUCAGUUUUAUGAGGUAAAGCGAAUGAUUAGGGACUCGGGGGCGACAUACUGCCUUCAUCCAUUCUCAAACUUUAAAUAUGUAAGAAGCCCUUGUUGCUCCGGUGAACGUGGGCGCUCGAAUGUACCGACACUAGUGGGCCAUUUUU
rnacentral:rRNA from 1 species